GACGAACGCUGGCGGCGUGCUUAACACAUGCAAGUCGAACGGAAAGGCCCUGCUUUUGUGGGGUGCUCGAGUGGCGAACGGGUGAGUAACACGUGAGUAACCUGCCCUUGACUUUGGGAUAACUUCAGGAAACUGGGGCUAAUACCGGAUAGGAGCUCCUGCUGCAUGGUGGGGGUUGGAAAGUUUCGGCGGUUGGGGAUGGACUCGCGGCUUAUCAGCUUGUUGGUGGGGUAGUGGCUUACCAAGGCUUUGACGGGUAGCCGGCCUGAGAGGGUGACCGGCAAAAUGGGGAUGAAGAUCAGGCCCAGCUGCAGAGGGGGGGGAGAAGGGGGGAUAAUUAGCCAUGGGGGGGAAGCCGAUAGGAGAACAGCCGGGGGGGGGAUGAGGCCUUUGGGGUUGAAACCCGUUUUCCCCUGUAAGAAAGGGGGGAGGGCGGUAAUGGGUAAAGAAACACCGGAAAAACUGGU
rnacentral:rRNA from 1 species